rnacentral:sRNA from 1 species
GUAUAGCCCCGAUAGAAACGAUAUCCUUUUUAGCCGUUUUUUUACGGAUAAAAAGAUAUAGUGAAUAGCGGGACUAAUG